rnacentral:lncRNA from 1 species
UGAAUUUGAAUAACCUCAACUACAAUUAAAGGGUUAAAAUCCUACCAUCAUCAACUUGCAAUCCAGUCUACAAAUUUAUCUAAUCUAGGCAACAAGAGACGAUGUUUAGCUACUCAUGGAACUAAAUGACAAUAGCAGAAGAGAACCGGAAAAGAGAAAACAAUAUUCUUCGAAGAAAUCCUAAUCUCAACAUGUCGAUUUGUCCUUGGCCAACCGUGGCGGAAACCUUUGCUUCAAUCACCUUGCAUACGCUCUGAAUCUCCGAAAAGUCACCUUACUCCAAACUCUGGUUCGUCAAAACUCAAAACUGUUAUCUAGGGUUUUGUGAAGAAGUAUGCCUAAUUGGUGAUGGAAAAGAGACUAAAUAUCCCGGCAGAGAGAGCACAUCAUAUGCUCUGCCUUAUUACAUAUUCCCCCCCAAAACCAACAGUAGUCAGAGCACAUCCAUGGCUAUGCUCUCGUAUGAAACAUCGUGCUUCCCGGGAGCACGGUGCAGUCUCCUACCGAAUUGACAUUCCUCCGUUCUAACCUGCUUCCGACUUCCGUUUAUGCUCCCCCUCAAUCCGAUGCGUAAUUUAACACCUGAAAAUACACAAAAAAUGCAGGAACAAUGUAAUAGAGCCUAGAGACAAAAUUACAUGCACAAGACACUGGAAUAUAAUCACAUAUACAAUAAAUUUCGUUUUAGACGGGUGAUUGCACCAAUAAUCAAGUAUCAAUCAUAAAGAUCAUGUCAGUGUUUGAACAAAUCAUAGAGAGGCUGGCUGACCUCCUAUUUAAUGCAGUCGUCGGCACGUCUUGGAACUUUGUAUAUAACGGACGCUUGUGAAACAAGUAAUAACUAGUUUCUAUGGAGUACUGGAGAAUCAACGUUGAGGAUCGGUCAACUUACAUGCACAUGAAUUAGGUGUUGAGAAUCUCCGUUGAUCUCUCUGAAGUCUUAACUACGUACUCUGUCACUCCCCCUGAUGAUCAAGUCUAACAGAACCAAUCAGUGUAUCAAACCGCAAUCGUAUAUAUA